CAUUUAUUUAAAUUUAUAGCUAUAUUUUAUUGUACUGUGUAUGGUAUAAAUAUUACAAGCAUGUUAAAUAAUAUUUCUAAAAAGGAUACAUAUACAAAUUCGUUGACAUAUGAAAAUGUAGAAAAGGUUAUAUCAGACAUUGUAAAAAAAAAAAAUAUAUAUAAACACACAGAUAAUCAAACACCUAUAUCUAGAUAUAAAAAAAGUGUUAAUAAUUUAUGCAAAAAUUUUAGUAUUUUUAAAAAUUAUAUGUUUUAUAAUUAUAAUGACAUAUUAUUAAAUAGACCAAAUAAUUUAAUAAAAGAAAAUAAAAUGGAAGAAAAGAAAAUGGAAGAAAAGAAAAUGAAAGAAAAGAAAAUGUCUCAUUGUAAUCAACAACGGAAUAAUAGUGUUACUUUGAGUGACUAUAUUGUUGAUAAUAAAGAAUUUGUUUUAAUUGGCAUGUGUGAUUUUUUUAAUAAUUUGAUUUGUUCUGUAAAUAAAACUCAAUUAUGUGGUAAUGAUGUAGAAUUUGUGUCUGAACAUGGGCAUCAGCCUGAGCAUGAGAGUAAGCAUGAGAAUGAGCGUGAGGAUGAGCAUAAACCUGAGUAUAACAAUGAGCAUAAACCUGAGCAUGAGAAUGAGCCUGUAGUUUCAAAGACAUGGCCAGGAGGUGUAGAUGAUAAUGGCGCAACUGAUGGAAUAGGCGAAAGAGGAGUGACAAUAGACAACAGCGCGAACAUGUUAGAAAAGGAUAAAGAUAGUCCUUAUGGUAAUAUUAACUUAACAACAAAAACAAAUGAUUAUCUUUUUUUUUCACUGUUAUCAAACAAUUUAAUCGAAUUAUAUAAUCUUAUGAAAAUAUUAUUUGUUAUAAAACUGGACAAAACAAAUAUAACGACCUUACAAAUUGAAAAUGAUAUAACAACUGAAGAGUUAAUUAAAUUAUAUAAUUUUUAUUUUGAUAAAAAAAAUGAUAUCGAUCAUAAUGUAGAACCAUAUCUAAAUAAGUAUAAUUUCCAUUUUGAUGAACAAGAACAGCUAAAAAAUUUAAACAAAAAAAUAAAAAAACAGUAUGGAAGUGGCAGAGGAAAUGGAAACGGAAAUGGGAACAGCGACGGAAAUGGGAACAGAGACGGAGACGAAAAAGACAAUAUAUCUACGUUCAUACCAAUAAAUAAUACCGUUUUUCCUCUUUACACAUUAAACAAAAAUAUGAAUGAGAACUUAUUUUACUUUUUUCAUAAAAUGAAUUUAAAAAAAAACAAUUUAAAUAACAUGUGUGAUAUUUAUUAUAUAUAUAAAUGGCAAAGAAAAGAAAAUUAUUUUUUUUUAUUAAUAAAAACAAUUUUAAAAAAUAAUUAUUUUUAUUACCUCAAUAAUGUAUUUACCACAUUACAUAAUAUAUUUUAUUUAUCGAAACGGAAGCAAAAAUAUAUAUUUGUUGAUACAAAAAUUGAUGAUUAUAUUAACAACACCUUCUUUGAUAUAUAUAAUGAUUAUAAAAUAAAAAAUAUAGAAAAAUUAAAUUAUGCUUCAAUAUGGAGUUAUAUUGAAAAGAGACAGGAAGUGUUACAAAAAUAUAUAAAAAAAAAAAAAAAUAAAAUAAUCACAACCAAAAAUAAUCAAACGAUGUAUAUUAAUAAAAAAAAUCGAGAGUGAAUGUGUGAAUACAUUAAAAUGUAAUAGAAAAAUUAAUAAUACCACAGAAAAGAAAAAUAAUAAACAUUUGUUGAUGAACGAAAAGGGGGAAACA
ensembl:lncRNA